CUAUAAGGACCACCAGAAAAGGUUUAGAGGCAUCAUCCGGCCAAGUAUUGAUUCCCAUCAGUACACGUUGGCGAGUAAAUGCCAAAUACAGAUAUUGAAGAGUUCCUGUUACCAGUUUGGAAUUGGUAGCUCACUUUAUGUCAAGUGCAGUGGUUGGGGCACUCUGAGUUUCUUGCAACUGGUAGCCACCCUCAAGAUGAUGUUAUCCUAGAGCUCUUAAGGGAAAAGAUGUGAACAGAAGAAUGGAGUUUGCUGUAUUUGAGAGUGGGAAUGGGAGAGAAGAAGUUGCCAAAUUUUGUGAGGUGUACAAUAUGCCAGCCAUGAAGACGCCCUUAGUCAAGCCUUCCAAGAGGAAAGAAGCAAACAGCUACAAAAGAACUGAGCAGGCACAGGUAGAAGGAAGUAAGACAAAGAAACAGUGGAAGAAUUCAGCAAGCAUAGCACAGAGCUCAAGAAAAACACAAACAAUAUAGACUUGCACGAAGACAAGCUUAGCAGAGAGAAGAAGACCUCUGUUUAACCUGUGGAAGGCAUAAUUUGAAGCUGGAGACUUUGACAAAACACAGCUCUGCAGAGUGGGUUAAAAGAGAGAGAACCAAAGAACCUAAGCAUACCUUCAAGUAGGUGUGCUGUGAUGUACAAAAGGCCAUUUUAUGGAGUCUUUAGUCUUACAGAUGACAUUUAGAAAAAACUGAAGUUUUAAUUGCAUUUUUCCGAAAAUAGCUUUUUUCGGGGUAAUUUUGUCGGCCCCUCAAAUUUCUUGAAGAGUAUUUCAGCUACUGACACCAAAUUUGGUACAAAGAUUGUUUUUGUAAUUAUCUGCAAUGUAAUCGAGUAAAAUUUAUUUUUCUGAAAUA